UACGUAGGGUGCAAGCGUUAAUCGGAAUUACUGGGCGUAAAGCGUGCGCAGGCGGUGAUGUAAGACCGAUGUGAAAUCCCCGGGCUUAACCUGGGAACUGCAUUGGUGACUGCAUUGCUGGAGUAUGGCAGAGGGGGGUGGAAUUCCACGUGUAGCAGUGAAAUGCGUAGAGAUGUGGAGGAACACCGAUGGCGAAGGCAGCCCCCUAGGUCAACACUGACGCUCAUGCACGAAAGCGUGGGGAGCAAACAGG
rnacentral:rRNA from 1 species